UACGGGAGGCAGCAGUGGGGAAUUUUGGACAAUGGGGGCAACCCUGAUCCAGCAAUGCCGCGUGUGUGAAGAAGGCCUUCGGGUUGUAAAGCACUUUUGUCCGGAAAGAAAUCCUCUGCCCUAAUACGGCGGGGGGAUGACGGUACCGGAAGAAUAAGCACCGGCUAACUACGUGCCAGCAGCCGCGGUAAUACGUAGGGUGCAAGCGUUAAUCGGAAUUACUGGGCGUAAAGCGUGCGCAGGCGGUUCGCUAAGACAGAUGUGAAAUCCCCGGGCUUAACCUGGGAACUGCAUUUGUGACUGGCGGGCUAGAGUAUGGCAGAGGGGGGUAGAAUUCCACGUGUAGCAGUGAAAUGCGUAGAGAUGUGGAGGAAUACCGAUGGCGAAGGCAGCCCCCUGGGCCAAUACUGACGCUCAUGCACGAAAGCGUGGGGAGCAAACAGGAUUAGAUACCCUGGUAGUCCACGCCCUAAACGAUGUCAACUAGUUGUCGGGUCUUCAUUGACUUGGUAACGUAGCUAACGCGUGAAGUUGACCGCCUGGGGAGUACGGUCGCAAGAUUAAAACUCAAAGGAAUUGACGGGGACCCGCACAAGCGGUGGAUGAUGUGGAUUAAUUCGAUGCAACGCGAAAAACCUUACCUACCCUUGACAUGUAUGGAAUCCUGCUGAGAGGUGGGAGUGCCCGAAAGGGAGCCA
rnacentral:rRNA from 1 species